UCGAGAAUCUUCCGCAAUGGGCGAAAGCCUGACGGAGCGACACCGCGUGCAGGACGAAGGCCCUCGGGUUGUAAACUGCUGUCACGCUCUAGGAAUGCCAUGUCGUUAAUAGCGGCAUGGUUGACCAAGGCGAAAGGAAGUGGCGGCUAACUCUGUGCCAGCAGCCGCGGUAAGACAGAGGCCACGAACGUUGUUCGGAAUCACUGGGCAUAAAGCGCACGUAGGCGGCUAGGUCCGUCCAAUGUGAAAGCCCCCGGCUCAACCGGGGAAUUGCAUCGGAUACAGCCUGGCUUGAGGACGGUUGGGGUGAGUGGAACUCCUGGUGGAGCGGUGAAAUGCGUAGAUAUCAGGAGGAACACCGGUGGCGAAAGCGGCUCACUGGACCGUAACUGACGCUGAGGUGCGAAAGCUAGGGGAGCAAACGGGAUUAGAUACCCCAGUAGUCCCUGAGCGGGCUGGCAAGGCGCAU
rnacentral:rRNA from 1 species